rnacentral:rRNA from 1 species
CAGUAGCCGCGGGAAUACGAAGGGUGCAAGCGUUAAUCGGAAUUACUGGGCGUAAAGCGCGCGUAGGUGGUUUGUUAAGUUGGAUGUGAAAUCCCCGGGCUCAACCUGGGAACUGCAUUCAAAACUGACUGACUAGAGUAUGGUAGAGGGUGGUGGAAUUUCCUGUGUAGCGGUGAAAUGCGUAGAUAUAGGAAGGAACACCAGUGGCGAAGGCGACCACCUGGACUAAUACUGACACUGAGGUGCGAAAGCGUGGGGAGCAAACAGGAUUAGAGACCCGAGUAGUCCCUGUCUCUUAUAC